rnacentral:rRNA from 1 species
AGCCUGAUGCAGCGACGCCGCGUGCGGGAUGGAGGCCUUCGGGUUGUAAACCGCUUUUGUUCAAGGGCAAGGCACGGUCUUUGGCCGUGUUGAGUGGAUUGUUCGAAUAAGCACCGGCUAACUACGUGCCAGCAGCCGCGGUAAUACGUAGGGUGCAAGCGUUAUCCGGAUUUAUUGGGCGUAAAGGGCUCGUAGGCGGUUCGUCGCGUCCGGUGUGAAAGUCCAUCGCUUAACGGUGGAUCCGCGCCGGGUACGGGCGGGCUUGAGUGCGGUAGGGGAGACUGGAAUUCCCGGUGUAACGGUGGAAUGUGUAGAUAUCGGGAAGAACACCAAUGGCGAAGGCAGGUCUCUGGGCCGUUACUGACGCUGAGGAGCGAAAGCGUGGGGAGCGAACAGGAUUAGAUACCCUGGUAGUCCACGCCGUAAACGGUGGAUGCUGGAUGUGGGGCCCUUUUUCCGGGUCCUGUGUCGGAGCUAACGCGUUAAGCAUCCCGCCUGGGGAGUACGGCCGCAAGGCUAAAACUCAAAGGAAUUGACGGG